GGGGGCCUAGUAAAUAUUAUUACGUGGCCUUGUCAUGGCCAAAUAACAACACCUUGUGACCCCUC
rnacentral:tRNA from 1 species